AUAUUGGCUGUGGGGUUGUGGAUUUGUGUUCUCUGACUCAAUAUCCCCUUGUAUUCCUCAUGCACUCACGAAACACCUUGCCCUGAAAUUUCAAAAGUGGAAAUCGAGUGGCGGAUCAACAUCGGAAGGAACCCAAACUAACCUUUUCAACGGUGAUUUCAUAUUUGUCCUUCCAACUCUGAUUUAGUAGUCUUUUCGUGCUGUAAAUUGCAGGUUUGGCAAGAAACUUCGGCUUAAUUUUUUUAAUAGUGAUCUUAGUAGUAUUUUCAUGCUGAAGAUUUCAGAUUUGAUAAGAUACUUUGACUUAAUAUUUUCUAUGGUUGUAUUCCAGAGAAAUAUUGAGGUGUGAAGUUAGUAUACGAGAUGAAGAAUAUCCACAUCAUCUGUAUUGGUAGUGUGCCAUUCUGAUUUUUGUUCCUGUCGGAUUUGCAGAUAGGUGCAGCGGGAGUGAUAGAAGUAGUGAGGUGUGAAGUUAGUAUACGAGAUAUAGGUGCUCCACACCAUGUGUAUUGUUGCGUAAACCUUCUCUGAUCACUUGAAGAUGGGGAAGAAAAAUCCAAAUGCACGUCGGUUUGCCUCAAGCGAACGUGCCCCGUCACUGGAUGUAACAAACUCACCUCUAAAUGCAAAUGCAGAGAGUAGUUCUGCUGCUCGACAGAAAGGUAACCAAUCAUGGUACACCAGAUUGUCUGAUGAAAAGAAAGCAGAGCUCCUCGAGAAGCGUCGUGUCGCCUGGCGUGAGAAGAAGACUGCAGCCGUACAAAGUGUAAACCAUGCCCGGGUAUCACAAGAACAUGCUUCUUCUGUGGGGUCUGAGCAAUUUGUCCCUUUGAGCAACAUCACCAACACACAUAUAGAUGUUGCAGUAUGUACGGCGGCAAGCUCCGCGGGUACUGCUCAUCUUCACCAAAACAAUAUUGCAGGCAAAAAAAGAAGUCCACAAAGUUGGUAUGCUGGACUAUCCGACGAGCGGCGAGCUGAGUACAUACACAAACAGAAGAUGGCCCGACUCGCAAGGAAAGCAGCAACUGCCGGGGUGAAUGUCCAAUUGCCUACAUCAUCUGCCUCGCAAACUUCAUCUGGUCCUUCUGUGUGUCGCUGCUGUCAGUCUCGGGCUUACUGCUUGGAGAACAGGAGGAGCGUCAGGGCUCUUUGCUGCAUCUGUGGGGGUACUGGCCAGAAGUAGGUGAGCUAAAAUACUAGGCCCCAUCUCUGCUUGAUCUGUUCAGCCAACUGAAUUUGUUCUCCUUACUUAUUUCUGUUUCUUUUGGUGUAUGUGAAGUGUUACAACUUUAUUUCCAUUGCUGCCAUCUUGCUUUUCGUGAGCUAAUUCUGUACAAUCAAGCUAUCGUUUACAGUAAUGAGUGGACAAUGGCCUGAUAGAGGUUUCGCUGCAAUGCAUGGUUAAGUGUUGUCCUACCUCCUAUCAGAGGUUAUUGCUGUCCAUAUUCCUAUGCAUAUGCUUUUAUUUUCAGGUUAUUGUUAUCCAUGUAUCACACAAGCUAAGGUGGUCACCUUUGAUCUAAUACCCGCGAGUCUUCUAUAUUGUCUUCAUCCUAUUCGUGCUAAAACAUACUCAGGGGCGAUCGCCCACCUGAACGAUUAAAUGGAUCAAUAUUCUGGACAUUACAAGUUGGGCCAGAGUGGGCCAUAUGGAGGUACAUCAAACAUAGGAAGGGUGGACAGGAGCAGGCACAAAAGGACCUACACCAAUGUACAAGGGGAUCAUGAUCUAGGAGAAGCGAGGCCUGGACAACAGGUGGUAGAGCAGCAUGCCUAAGAGAAGCACAAGUUACCACUACUAUUCAGCAAAUGACACAACCAGAUAUUUAUGGAUUUUCCUUAACUGUAAUGACUUCAUUUGUUCUUGAAAUGGAGAAUCUUAUGUAUGUCUCUUGCUAUCCAUGUGCCAGAGCCAUGAGUUGGUUGCGAGAUCUUAUGGGUUUCACCUUUAGCCUACCCCAACUUGUUUGGAACUAAAGGCUUUGUUGUUGUUUGUUGUUGAUGAAUUUUGCGAUGCAAUAUGUUUUGGAGACUG
rnacentral:rRNA from 1 species